GAUGAACGCUGGCGGCGUGCCUAAUACAUGCAAGUCGAGCGAAUGGAUUAAGAGCUUGCUCUUAUGAAGUUAGCGGCGGACGGGUGAGUAACACGUGGGUAACCUGCCCAUAAGACUGGGAUAACUCCGGGAAACCGGGGCUAAUACCGGAUAACAUUUUGAACCGCAUGGUUCGAAAUUGAAAGGCGGCUUCGGCUGUCACUUAUGGAUGGACCCGCGUCGCAUUAGCUAGUUGGUGAGGUAACGGCACACCAAGGCAACGAUGCGUAGCCGACCUGGGCGGGUGAGCGGCCACACUGGGACUGAGACACGGCCCAGACUCCUGCGGGAGGCAGCAGUAGGGAAUCUUCCGCAAUGGACGAAAGUCUGACGGAGCAACGCCGCGUGAGUGAUGAAGGCUUUCGGGUCGUAAAACUCUGUUGUUAGGGAAGAACAAGUGCUAGUUGAAUAAGCUGGCACCUUGACGGUACCUAACCAGAAAGCCACGGCUAACUACGUGCCAGCCGCCGCAGUAA
rnacentral:rRNA from 1 species